rnacentral:rRNA from 1 species
CCUACGGGAGUCAGCAGUGGGGAAUAUUGCACAAUGGGGGGAACCCUGAUGCAGCGACGCCGCGUGAGUGAAGAAGUAUUUCGGUAUGUAAAGCUCUAUCAGCAGGGAAGAAAAUGACGGUACCUGACUAAGAAGCCCCGGCUAACUACGUGCCAGCAGCCGCGGUAAUAUGUAGGGGGCAAGCGUUAUCCGGAUUUACUGGGGGUAAAGGGAGCGCAGACGGAUUGGCAAGUCUGGAGUGAAAGGCGGGGGCCCAACCCCCGGACUGCUCUGGAAACUGUAAAGCGUGAGUGCAGGAGAGGUAAGCGGAAUUCCUAGUGUAGCGGUGAAAUGCGUAGAUAUUAGGAGGAACACCAGUGGCGAAGGCGGCUUACUGGACUGCAACUGACGUUGAGGCUCGAAAGCGUGGGGAGCAAACAGGAUUAGAUACCCCAGUAGUC